rnacentral:rRNA from 1 species
AUUGAACGCUGGCGGAAUGCUUUACACAUGCAAGUCGAACGGCAGCACGGGAGCUUGCUCCUGGUGGCGAGUGGCGAACGGGUGAGUAAUGCGUCGGAACGUACCGAGUAAUGGGGGAUAACGCAGCGAAAGCUGUGCUAAUACCGCAUACGCCCUGAGGGGGAAAGUGGGGGAUCGCAAGACCUCACGUUAUUCGAGCGGCCGACGUCUGAUUAGCUAGUUGGUGGGGUAAAGGCCUACCAAUGCGACGAUCAGUAGCGGGUCUGAGAGGAUGAUCCGCCACACUGGAACUGAGACACGGUCCAGACUCCUACGGGAGGCAGCAGUGGGGAAUUUUGGACAAUGGGGGGCAACCCUGAUCCAGCCAUUCCGCGUGAGUGAAGAAGGCCUGGUGUAAGACGUCUUUCUA